GAUGAACGCUGGCGGCGUGCCUAAUACAUGCAAGUCGAGCGAACGGACGAGAAGCUUGCUUCUCUGAUGUUAGCGGCGGACGGGUGAGUAACACGUGGAUAACCUACCUAUAAGACUGGGAUAACUUCGGGAAACCGGAGCUAAUACCGGAUAAUAUUUUGAACCGCAUGGUUCAAAAGUGAAAGACGGUCUUGCUGUCACUUAUAGAUGGAUCCGCGCUGCAUUAGCUAGUUGGUAAGGUAACGGCUUACCAAGGCAACGAUGCAUAGCCGACCUGAGAGGGGGAUCGGCCCCACUGGAACUGAGAAACGGUCCAGACUCCUACGGAGGCAGCAGUAGGGAAUCUUCCGCAAUGGGCGAAAGCCUGACGGAGCAACGCCGCGUGAGUGAUGAAGGUCUUCGGAUCGUAAAACUCUGUUAUUAGGGAAGAACAUAUGUGUAAGUAACUGUGCACAUCUUGACGGUACCUAAUCAGAAAGCCACGGCUAACUACGUG
rnacentral:rRNA from 1 species